rnacentral:pre_miRNA from 1 species
CUACUACUCCCUCCGUUCCGAAUUACUUGUCUUGGAUUUGUCUAGAUACGGAUGUAUUUAGACUCAUUUUAGUGCUAGAUACCUCCGUAUCUAGACAAAUCUAAGACAAAUAAUUCGGAACGGAGGGAGUAUUAG